rfam:Octopus bimaculoides Scaffold61683_contig_4, whole genome shotgun sequence.
GGUAGUUUAGCUUAAUCGGUCAAAGCAUCAUGACAUGUAAUCAUGGGGAUGUGAGUUUGAGUCCACAGCUAGCC